GCCGCGCUGGCGGAUCGGCAGACGCCGUUGACGGAUUAUGCCCGUCUGGCCCUGGCCGCCGCUGCGGUCGUGCUGGGUUCCGGGAUCCUGCUGUGGCC
rnacentral:tRNA from 1 species